rnacentral:lncRNA from 1 species
UUUUUUUGGGAAGGGGAUGGGCAGUGGGGGUGGUUAAUACAUCUUUAAUCUUCAAAAAAAAAGUAUUCUAGAAGGGAAAUAUUUUUCCCCUUCCCUGCAGAGUUCUCCUGAACUAUUUUUCUUGGCCCAGUCAGCUAACUUCCUGUCUCAGUACACAGAGCUCUUCCUUUGUACUGGGCAGAGGCUGGGGUGCUGGUCUCAAACUAAGGAGACAAGAGACCAGGGCAGCGAAAGAGGACCUCAAACGCCGCCUACGAACAGCUGAGCCCCAGGCCCUGGGGAGCUGGGCUCAAAGCUGUGCUGGCCAAGGAGCAAGCAGCCCCUGGGAACCUGG